GAGACGAUACGAUAGCUGUCUUGCGUACAUGUGCUGGUGAAAUAUUAGGGAGUGUGAAGAUACGGUAACAACGUUAUGGGACAAAAAGACCCUGUGAAGCUUUAUAGGGAUAUAAUUUAGUACAGGUUC
rnacentral:rRNA from 15 species